GCUUGAGUCUCGUAGAGGGGGGUAGAAUUCCAGGUGUAGCGGUGAAAUGCGUAGAGAUCUGGAGGAAUACCGGUGGCGAAGGCGGCCCCCUGGACGAAGACUGACGCUCAGGUGCGAAAGCGUGGGGAGCAAACAGGAUUAGAUACCCUGGUAGUCCACGCCGUAAACGAUGUCGACUUGGAGGUUGUGCCCUUGAGGCGUGGCUUCCGGAGCUAACGCGUUAAGUCGACCGCCUGGGGAGUACGGCCGCAAGGUUAAAACUCAAAUGAAUUGACGGGGGCCCGCACAAGCGGUGGAGCAUGUGGUUUAAUUCGAUGCAACGCGAAGAACCUUACCUGGUCUUGACAUCCACGGAAGUUUUCAGAGAUGAGAAUGUGCCUUCGGGAACCGUGAGACAGGUGCUGCAUGGCUGUCGUCAGCUCGUGUUGUGAAAUGUUGGGUUAAGUCCCGCAACGAGCGCAACCCUUAUCCUUUGUUGCCAGCGGUCCGGCCGGGAACUCAAAGGAGACUGCCAGUGAUAAACUGGAGGAAGGUGGGGAUGACGUCA
rnacentral:rRNA from 1 species